rnacentral:rRNA from 1 species
UACGUAGGUGGCAAGCGUUGUCCGGAUUUACUGGGCGUAAAGAGCGCGCAGGCGGUCGGAUCAGUCGAAUGUGAAAGCCCCCGGCUCAACUGGGGAGGGUCAUUCGAUACUGAUCGACUCGAAGGCAGGAGAGGGUAGUGGAAUUCCUAGUGUAGCGGUGAAAUGCGUAGAUAUCAGGAGGAACACCGGUGGCGAAGGCGGCUCUCUGGACCACAACUGACGCUGAGGCGCGAAAGCUAGGGGAGCAAACAGG